rnacentral:rRNA from 1 species
UACGUAGGUGGCAAGCGUUGUCCGGAAUUACUGGGUGUAAAGCGCGUGUAGGCGGGAGGCCAAGUCUGCUGUGAAAUCGCUCGGCUCAACUGGGCGGGGUCGGUGGAAACUGGUCACCUGGAGGACGGUAGAGGCGAGUGGAAUUCCCGGUGUAGUGGUGAAAUGCGUAGAGAUCGGGAGGAACACCAGUGGCGAAGGCGGCUCGCUGGGCCGGUCCUGACGCUGAGGCGCGAAAGCCAGGGGAGCAAACGGG